UUUUCAUGCUUUAAUUCUUCUACGAAGUACAUGUCUGGUGACUAUAUCAGGGAAUAAGGAAUCAUUUUUUGACUAAAUACUGGCUGAUCACGUGUUUAAGGUUAAAUUUUGAAUGACGUUGACUCGAUGCAGCUACGUCUGUUUCGAGUUGAUAAGAAGGCCAGACGACUAAUGACCGAAAACGACUGUUACAGAGGUGACUGAUCAAAUAAAGCGAGUGAUUGUAAU
rnacentral:sRNA from 1 species